rnacentral:rRNA from 1 species
UGCGAGAACCAAGAGUUCCGUUGUGAAACUUUUAGUUCGUGUUCAGAUAUAAUAAUAAAAUAGUUUUAAAAUGUUGGCCCGCGGCCCAGCAAUUCAUGUUUCACAGGUGUAAUAUGAAUCUCAAUAAUGANCCNCUUCCGUAGGUGAACCUGCGGAAGGAUCAUUAUUGAGAUUCAUAUUACACCUGUGAAACAUGAAUUGCUUGGCCGCAAGGCCAACGUUUUAAAACUAUUUUAUUAUUAUAUCUGAACAACGAAAUCAAAAGUUUCAACAACGGAUCUCUUGGUUCUCGCAUCGAUGAAGAACGCAGCAAAGCGCGAUAGUUAGUGUGAAUUGCAGACGUGAAUCAUUGAGUUUUUGAACGCACAUUGCACUUUCUGGUAUUCCGGGAAGUAUACUUGUGCGAGCGUCAUUUCAUCUUCAUAUUUAUAUGUGUUGAAGCUGUAGACAGCUUUGAAAAAGAUGAUAGAGUACAUGUUAGACACAAUGUGCUUUAAUUAUUUUUGACCUCGUAUCAAGCAAGAUUACCCGCUGAACUUAAGCAUAUCAAUAGGCGGAGGAANAGGAUCNUUAUUGAGAUUCAUAUUACACUGUGAAACAUGAAUUGC